GGUCGUCUCAGUGAACGUACGUAAUGGAGAAGUCGCCACAGAAGCAGCAGCAGCAGCAGCAGCAGCAGAAUAGAAUAGGGAUCAUCAUCGGGAUGAAUAAGGCUCCAUCCGCCGAAGCUAUCGGCGACUAUCUGGUACAUGAGCUAAUUUCAAAGUAAUGCUAGGGCGUGUAUUACUAGGAAACAGAAUGGACACGUUACAACGUCGCAUUCACCCAACCGUCUGCCACACCAGCCGGCGCAUAACAUCGAACCAUUGACCAUUUUUACCUUUUUGUACAGCGAAUCAAUUAGUGAUGAUCCACACGCGAUAUGCAUUCCAGGAAUAGGCUGGUGCGCAAUCGUUACCGAGAUCGGAGCCGUAACCUGGAUCGCGAUCGUAAUCGGGAUCGGGAACGAGAACUGAAGCGCAAAGAAUCACCACGGAGCACUGGUGGAAACAAUCGUUGCCGGAAAGCGAAACAAUCGUUCCCGGAAAGCGAACUUGACGGCCUCUCGGUCCAUUUGGGGGAACGGAACGAAAAACCCGUACCUAACAGCUUCUUUCAGCGAAAUUCUCCGAAAGAUAAGUCAGCAGUCGUGGGUGGCUGCAAUCGGGAUGAUGGUGGUGGUAAGGGAGCACCUGCCGGUGGCAAACGACAGGAUCUUCUUCCACCUCGCCGUCGUUCGCGAUCACGGUCACCGCGUGCUCGCCGAGAAGCACCACUUUCCCCGAAUCGGUCUCACUUCCAAUAUCCACGCCGAAGACCCCACGAGACAGAAAGCAGCAAUCAUCGCCCAGAAAUCGAAAUGUGCGCAAUCGGCAGCACACGGAGCCCCGUAUCCCCGUACGCCCCAAUCCACACUUAGGCACGCCCGGCAGAGUUUAAUUUUUGUAUUUUGCUUGAGUGUGUAGUGGUACCUUAUAGAGAUGAGCCGUAACGCACACAUCGUUCCGUACCGCAACCGGUGUUUGAACCGGUGUACGCUUAAGGUCAGCAAAAAAGCGCUCGCCUGGGUCAUUUUAGGCGAUAAUGAACUCGAACAUGAACAAAAAUGAAUUUGGCGCUGAGGGGUUAGGUAUCGCCUCACCGGAAUAAGCACCUCAGUUCUGUUCGGCAUUCAGCAUGGCCGGAGCGUGGUGAUUGCGCUCUCGGUUAGUUUAAUUUCGGUUCGUUUAGUGCUUAUUUUUCAACACCCACAGUAACGACGGGCAUGAUUUGAACGAGUUGGCUUUUGCGUUCUUUUGCGUGGCGCUGCCUCGUGGCACUGUUUGUUGGUCUUCUUAUCCUGCUCGAUUCGGCUUUGCUUGGGGUGCAGAUGGCUGCUUUGGAAUACAACUUUGAUCUUGAACGGAAUGUGCUACGCACAACUAAAACACCAAAUAUACGCCUGACAAAUCGUUUUUUUCACUGACGAUAGGUAAAGCAAAAUAACAAUCGCUCAUGGCCAAACUUAUUAGUUUUUUCCGGUGCAUCUGUUCAGCUCGUAGUUAUUUUUAUUUUUUUAGAAUAGUUUCUACAAGCAACCGAAUUUUUUUGACGUAAUAUGAUAAUUUUUGACGUAAGAAGCUUUGUUUCCGAAAGAUUACUUAAGAAAAAUACGCUAGAUCCGUUGUAGAUCUGUUCUUCUUCCAAUGUUUUAUUCCAAGUCUUCUGCCGUGAGUCUUUUGUAAAAAUUACAUUUUCUUGUAGCAUUGCGCACCAAUAGGAAAUGCAGACUUAUGCUAAUGGUUGCAAAUGCUUAGUAUAUUUAUAAAAUGCUAACAUUCCGUGUCUUUCACUCUGAAACAUCAGUCUUUCAUUCUGCACUUUUAGUAAUUAUCAAAUAGCAUGGCAUUUGCUUUCUGACAUGAAUGUAUACUAACUGAGAACUAAUUCUGUGACAAGAAGACUGUGACGAGAAGAGAGAGUGGACGCGCUUCAGAAAAUAAAGUAUGAAUUAUGAAUCGUGCAUACACCUUUGCUCCACAGCACCGUGUAUCCGUGAUGAAAAAGAAAAAAUUAAAAUUAACUUAUUAUGCUUCUUUGCACCUUCUUGGGUGAGUUAACUUUUCCGGACAAGUCCGGAGUUCAUCCCAAGGGAUGAAACGUUCUAGAAGAAAAUUAAUAAUUGAAGACGAUCAGGUUCCUUGGCUUUAAAAACCUGAAUGAUGUUUUAUUUCUCUAUAAUAGUUUUUAUAAGUUUUAGGGAUGUUGGAGAAGGUAGAGAGAUGGAGUGUAGAGAGAUGGAAGGAUAAAGUAAUCUCCUUCUAAUGUAUUUGUCGGGAAGGACGAGCCGCACACCUGCAUUCUUGCAAAAAGGCAAAAGUCUGGAUUUACCGGAUGUUCAUGACCAAGCAGGAAACCAAGAAACAAAAAUGUUUUGUCUGCAUUACAAAUGACUCUACUGUGAUAUUUAGUGAAGUACAGCAAAUAAGCAGGCAGGCUUUAUUAAUUCGUUUUUGGUUCUUUUCAGCAUCUAUUCUUAGAGUUAUUUUCUUUACCUUUUAUUAAAAAAAAACGUUAAUUUUACUGCUUACUUGCCUAUAUUUUUAGCCUAUAUCCCAUUGACAACUGGAAUAACAUUUACCGAGAAUGUGCAUAUUUUUUUACAAAUGAAGUAAAACAAAUAGUUCAUCGUAUUUAUAUAUUACAAUAAUCCCAUGCCCACCGUCAUGAAACAACGCUUAGCAGCACUUCUAAGUUAUUUUUUCAAGGUUUUUAAUGUCAGAGAGCAAGAGCCUUUGCUACAAGAGCCGUAAACUCUAGAGUAAAUGUAAAUUUAAUGUAAAAAAUAACGCUUAACCAUUACAUGCUGUUAAUAGAUUAUAGGUUCUCGGAGCGAUGAAAUUAUACGUAAACCCAAGCAACCCCCCUACAAAUAUAAAUUAAUUCUAGCAAGAAAAUGAGCAAAUCACAAAAUAGAUUUUUUUAUCAUUUCUUUGAGUUGGUAAACAUUUUUGGGCUAUUAUUCGAUCGUUUGAUAUUUCGGUAAAACAUUGUUGGUUUAUGUCUGCCACACGUAACUGUUUGGUAUCAAUUUUUACAUUUAUAUUUGAGUUUAUUCCUCGUGUGCAAUGAUUCUUGCAAUGAUUUGCUUAAUGACCAGCCAAAGAUGAUAUAGUCAAGUCUCUUCGCCAUAAACAGACUUGACCGAUGUUUUGUAAAUCGCGUUACGUAGUUGUUUUUUUAGAGCUUUUUUCGUUGACCUUUUUUCGUUUUCGUUGAACUGAAGAAGCCGUGUUUAUUUUAUAUACAGGUGAUUUUGCGGGAAAUACUGUGCCUAUAGAAACAUUCCAAAGCCGUCCUCUUUAGUGAAAAAUGAACUGUUAUAUUCGAAUCAUGGAACCCGAUGUCCAAUUGUCGGUCAAAUUUCAUUAUUAUAUUAUGUUUUUAAUUGUUCAGUAUUACAUUUAAUUCAUUCCCCUUGUUAAAGCAACGAAAAUCAAACGAAUUCUUCCAAUCGAGUAUCAUUUUUGGUACAUGUAAAAAAAGCUCGCAAGUUGGCUAUUGGGAGAAAUACAUUCAUAAAAUGAAUUUUUUCUACCCCUGCCAAAUACAUUUCUUUAGAUUCCCGCAUUUUAAAAUGUCUGUUUCCUUAUCAAAAAUGUAUAAUUGUUUUAGGUCACUAAGUAAGUUACCGUGAGUUUGAGUAAUAUUUUUACACAAUUUUCAUCGUGCUAUUGUAAAUUAAAUAUGCUGUUAGGCAGCAUCUAUUACUUGCAAUAAUCUCACUUAGCAAUAAUCUACUAGAGCAAACAAUUACUGUAAAGAUAAAAAAUCUUAAGAUGGCUUGUCGAGAAUAUUAUUACUAUUGAUACUCUAUUUUAUAAACUGAGUGGUUCAGAUGCGUAUAUCUUGUUAUCUCACGAACUAGUGUGUUUUGCAUAUUUUUAGUAGCGAUUACCAUAUUCACAGCUACUGGAAUAUUUAAAGUGACUUGAAGCCAAAUUCGUACAACCGCGCCACGCGACGCAAACUUAUGCUCGUACAGCACUAUUCUAUGCACAUUAUACAAUUAUGACAAUUGGCUCUAGAAGCGGAAUUAUUACUUGUUAUGACUAAUAUCACCUUCGAAAAAAAAAUCGUGGCGAUGAAAAACAGUAUUUGAUUGUUAAUAAUCGCAUAGAAUAUAAAUGUACGAGCAUGCGUUUGCGUCCCGUGUCGCGGCUGUAUAAUUUCGGUUUCGAUUCACUGUAUGUUAUUUGAUGAUAUAGUGCGUCUAAGUGCAACAUUUGUUAUCUAUAAAAAGAGUUUGGAAGCCUUUGCAUUUGCCCAAUUUAAAGGCGUUAGUUGAUUUCUUUUUCAAAUGACCAAGUUAAUGGUGUCCAAGAAUCGCAAUAGAAUCUUUUUUUUUAUCUAGGUCAGCUUUUUAUAAUAUGAUUUUUUACAAAAUCAACUACAGUUGCCACAUUUUUUAGUAUUGAUGUUAAAAAAAUAUGUAUCUGUAAACGAUGGUAGGAUCAAAAAAUUAUGUUUCCCAUUCCGUUGGUACACAUAAUUAAACAAAUCGGCUCAUGGCUGCGUAAAAGGAGAAUGAGUAUUCUUUUACUUAUAUUUUCAUACUUCAACUUUACUCAGAUUUUAACAACCAGAAUUUGUAAUUGCAUAGCUGUUUCUAUUCUUUUUAUGUGAUACAAAUACAAAACAUUUAUGAAAUAGCCAAAUAACGCUCCGCGGUAAGAGGUUGCAGUCAGCCAGCAAGAAUGUCUUUUGACCAAGAAUCAAGUGUUGAUUGGUAACUCUGAACCACCUUAUACUUCUUCGGCAUGCUGCUCACCUUCGUUCGAACAAACUUACUAACCGUGACAGUGACACACCGUUUUAAAAAGAUAAAACUUUUCAAUGGAACAUUUUAAAGAUCAUCAGUUCAUAUUUCGAAACCGAUAAAAAUCGGAGCGAAAAAAAGAAAGACUUAAAAUAUUAUGCCUAAGUUAGCCAUCCAAUUUAAAUAUCAGUAGUUCUGCAAAGGCAGCAGCAAAAGAAACAAAACAUGUGUAAAUGUUAUUUUAUACUUUUCUUUCCUUUGACCAAUUAUUAGCUGCUCCGGAAUCAUACGCAUAAAAACAAACAUGUUGUUGAGUUAAAAUGGUUAAAAAUAUCAAAACAAAACUCAUAAUGUAUUUCAAUAAGAAAAGAACAAGCUUCCAAUCAUUAUUACGUGUUGAGUGUAAUAGUUUGCAUUUUCUGCUACACUGUUUGUUACUCCCUAUUAAAGCUUGUGUAUCAAACCUCAUAACUCCACAUUACCACAUUGUUCUUGCUGCAAAUCUCCACACAUACUAAUUCCAUUGGGUAACCGAUGUACGACGUUAAUUAAGAUUGUAAACAAUAUUCAGGAAUUGGAUAAAGCCAAGCAAUUGGUUCUAUUACGUUUUUUUUUAUAAUUCUCCUAACGCCUCUUAUGAAUCUCACCGGCUGGGUAUGUGGAAGUUUAUAUUCAUUUGCUAUAUGUAUUGCAUAUGUAUGCAUGCAUGGAUACACUUGUAUUAGCCAAAUACAAUGAUAUCUGAAAAUUUCUGCAGUAGUUUUUAAUUCAUUAACAGUUAACUAACCUUCUAUUGGUAUGUAUUUCAAAUGAAAAAACGAGAUCGCUUUAAAUGUUCUAAAUGAAAAAAAAUCAAGGUCAAUGCAAUUGAUACUGUGUACUUCACACGAUGGCAGCCAUUUCAUCAGAAACAAGAAACCCAUCACUGUUAAACAGAAAAUAUACACACGUGUUGCCUUAAAAGUUCGUGGACGAAUAAAUCAUAAAAUCAAUAUGAAAGCGUUAUUUUAUCUUAUCAACUAAUCCUAACAAUAACAACAUACACAUCAUAGUGGAUGUCACAGAGGAGAAAAGGAAUAAGCACACCUUAGUAACCUUAGGUUUGUUUGAAAAGUUUGAAAACAUUUUCUAUCUACCCUUCCUCCUCCAUACUAUAAAAUAAAAUAUAAAUGUAUGAAAAAAGACAAAUAAUAAAACGCAACUCCAAGGAUAAACAAUGAAUCCCGAAUCCCCCGCCACCGGAAUCCCUUGCAUAUCUUUUUAGAGUAUUGAAACCCAAUUGGAUUCUGAUUAAUUUUUUUAAUCGGAUUAACGAAUUUUUAGCAUAAAAAAGAACGAUAUUAUGUUGAAGACAACUUUUGUGUUCAGAGUGCUGACGCUCGUGUUUCCGGUAUAUAAAGUCUGUCAGAGGCAAAUAAGCACAAUACCAAAAAGAUUGUACCAAAUCUACGUACGCUCUUUCUAUGCUUACAAAUAAAUAAAAUGAGUUUAUUUGUUUUGUUUUCCAAAAAAAAAGAUCUACAAAUUCAUUUAACAGUGAAUACACAUAAUUUAAACAUGUUGCUCAUGUUCAUCCUUGUCCAGGCUAUAAAAAUCCAAGGAAAUUUCUUGUGAAAGAUAAUAAAACAACCACCUGUUCAUGUUCUAUACUCCACUUCAUGUUCACUUGAAAUUGGCGGAUUCAUAUAGUGUGGAAAAGGGAUAUGUAAUAUGUAACAAUAUUUAAUAAUGCAACAAAUCAAUCAACCAGAAAUCAAUCAAUCGAUAAUCAGUAAACCAAGGAUAAUAUACAAUCAAAUAAAUAUUCGAAUAAUUAAUUCACUUAUCGUAUCACAUAUUAACCUUAUAAAUUGUUAAAAUAAAAUGUAGAAAAUCUUGAAACCCACCCGCUCCAAAACUGUGUGCUAUCCGCGUAUGUAUGUACUUCUUAAUAUGGUAGACUGAAGCAAAAUUAUAUAAGCAAGGAUAGGCUAAGAUAAGCAGUCUCUCACCGUUAUCACAUCACCAAACUGGCGGCAAGUUCUAUUCACCAAUAUUAUGUGCAUAAUACCAAUUACCUCUCAGCAUUUUUUACCUACAAGAUCAAUUUUAUUUACAUAGAGCACACUUACUAUGUAUAUUGUUUACGGGAUUUCUAUUUUUCCAUGCCGUGUAUUAUCAUACACAUAUAUUCCUAUAUAGGUAUAUAUCAAUAGUUCGUUUACGCGAUUUGCAACUUGUAAACGUGUCUCUUAUAUUUCGCACGAAAAUUUAUUUAUAAACCGUUAUCAAUAUAGAAGGCAUUUUUUCAGACUUCCUUGUAAUGGAAAAUUUAUUUCCUUGAAUGUUUCGUUAUGUUUGCUUGCUAUGACAAUGUGUUCAAUCUUUUAUGAAUAUCUACAGUCAAUGUUAGCCGAUUUGUGUGUGUGCGAUUAUUACUGACAUUUCAUUGAUGGUUUUUUUAAACCUCACCCUUUUCUUU